GGGGUACUCGAGUGGCGAACGGGUGAGUAACACGUGGGUGAUCUGCCCUGCACUUUGGGAUAAGCCUGGGAAACUGGGUCUAAUACCGAAUAUUUCCUUCUGGUUGCAUGGCUGGGAGGGGAAAGCUUUUGCGGUGUGGGAUGGGCCCGCGGCCUAUCAGCUUGUUGGUGAGGUUAUGGCUUACCAAGGCGACGACGGGUAGCCGGCCUGAGAGGGUGACCGGCCACACUGGGACUGAGAUACGGCCCAGACUCCUACGGGAGGCAGCAGUGGGGAAUAUUGCACAAUGGGCGCAAGCCUGAUGCAGCGACGCCGCGUGGGGGAUGACGGCCUUCGGGUUGUAAACCUCUUUCAAUAGGGACGAAGCGUAAGUGACGGUACCUAUAGAAGAAGGACCGGCCAACUACGUGCCAGCAGCCGCGGUAAUACGUAGGGUCCGAGCGUUGUCCGGAAUUACUGGGCGUAAAGAGCUCGUAGGUGGUUUGUCGCGUUGUCCGUGAAAACUCACAGCUUAACUGUGGGCGUGCGGGCGAUACGGGCAGACUUGAGUACUGCAGGGGAGACUGGAAUUCCUGGUGUAGCGGUGGAAUGCGCAGAUAUCAGGAGGAACACCGGUGGCGAAGGCGGGUCUCUGGGCAGUAACUGACGCUGAGGAGCGAAAGCGUGGGGAGCGAACAGGAUUAGAUACCCUGGUAGUCCACGCCGUAAACGGUGGGUACUAGGUGUGGGUUUCCUUCCUUGGGAUCCGUGCCGUAGCUAACGCAUUAAGUACCCCGCCUGGGGAGUACGGCCGCAAGGCUAAAACUCAAAGAAAUUGACGGGGGCCCGCACAAGCGGCGGAGCAUGUGGAUUAAUUCGAUGCAACGCGAAGAACCUUACCUGGGUUUGACAUGCACA
rnacentral:rRNA from 1 species